rnacentral:rRNA from 1 species
GACGAACGCUGGCGGCGUGCCUAAUACAUGCAAGUCGAACGAGAGCGACCGGUGCUUGCACUGGUCAAUCUAGUGGCGAACGGGUGAGUAACACGUGGGUAACCUGCCCAUCAGAGGGGGAUAACAUCCGGAAACGGAUGCUAAAACCGCAUAGGUCUUCGAACCGCAUGGUUUGAAGAGGAAAAGAGGCGCAAGCUUCUGCUGAUGGAUGGACCCGCGGUGCAUUAGCUAGUUGGUGAGGUAACGACUCACCAAGGCCGUGAUGCAUAGCCGACCUGAGAGGGUGAUCGGCCACAUUGGGACUGAGACACGGCCCAAACUCCUACGGGAGGCAGCAGUAGGGAAUCUUCCGCAAUGGACGCAAGUCUGACGGAGCAACGCCGCGUGAGUGAAGAAGGUUUUCGGAUCGUAAAACUCUGUUGUUAGAGAAGAACAAGUGCUAGAGUAACUGUUAGCGCCUUGACGGUAUCUAACCAGAAAGCCACGGCUAACUACGU